ACUACGAACACUAGCUCUCAGAUCAGUCGCAGAGGUACUUAUUCAGCUGCUAAGAAGUAGUGCAUGCAAGACGCAAGCUUCAGUACUUAUUAUUGGACAUUUUGGCGACAAGUUUUUCAUUUCAGCUUUGGAAAUGUUGGCAAACAUUGUUUUUUCUGUCACCUUUGCAGCACUUAUUACAGGUCCAGUCUCUAUUACAGCUCAGGUCACGGACUCAAAUCCGGACUGCAACGUGCAAGCAGGAAGUAAACAUGUUUACGGCAGCUGCCAGUAUUCCUGCCAGGGCGAUGAAGCCGUUUUCUUAAACCAAAAGGAGCCAUGUUAU